AUUGAACGCUGGCGGCAUGCUUUACACAUGCAAGUCGAACGGUAACAGGCCGCAAGGUGCUGACGAGUGGCGAACGGGUGAGUAAUGCAUCGGAACGUGCCCAGGCGUGGGAGAUAACUACUCGACAGAGUAGCUAAUACCGCAUACGAUCUAUGGAUGAAAGCGGGGGACCGUAAGGCCUCGCGCGAUUGGAGCGGCCGAUGUCAGAUUAGGUAGUUGGUGGGGUAAAGGCUCACCAAGCCAACGAUCUGUAGCUGGUCUGAGAGGACAACCAGCCACACUGGGACUGAGACACGGCCCAGACUCCUACGGGAGGCAGCAGUGGGGAAUUUUGGACAAUGGGCGCAAGCCUGAUCCAGCAAUGCCGCGUGCAGGAAGAAGGCCUUCGGGUUGUAAACUGCUUUUGUACGGAACGAAACGGCUCUGGUUAAUACCCGGGGCUAAUGACGGUACCGUAAGAAUAAGCACCGGCUAACUACGUG
rnacentral:rRNA from 1 species